rnacentral:rRNA from 1 species
UACAGAGGUCUCAAGCGUUGUUCGGAUUCAUUGGGCGUAAAGAGCUCGUAGGCGGUCUGUCGCGUCUGCUGUGAAAACCUAGGGCUUAACUCUGGGCGUGCAGUGGGUACGGGCAGGCUAGAGUGCGGUAGGGGAGACUGGAAUUCCUGGUGUAGCGGUGAAAUGCGUAGAUAUCGUAAGGAAGACCAGUGGCGAAGGCGGGUCUCUGGACAGUUCCUGACGCUGAGGCACGAAGGCCAGGGGAGCAAACGGG